ACGACAGCCCAGCAAUUCGCUUCCUGGGUAUUUACCCAAGAGGAAUGAAAACAUAUGUCUGCGCAAAGAUCUGUUGGCAAAUGUUCAUAGCAGCUUUGUUCGUUCUUGCCAAAAAGCUGGAAACACCCCAAAUGUCUACCAACAGGAGCACGGAUGAACGCGCUGAGGUCCACUGGCACCACACCACGGAGUACUCGCAGACACAGCCGUGAGCGAAGAACAAAGAAAUGACAGUUCCUGGCCCACGGUGAAAUGCUCAGUGAAUGUUAGCAAUUAUUCCUGUCACUACCCAGUGGUCCGGUGACAUCCACCAAAGCCUUGAAGAGAAAAAAUAUUGUA